AGGAAUUUAAGUUAUAUUAAACUAUUAACCUUCAAAGUUAAAUUAACCUAAAAAGUAAAUCCUA
rnacentral:tRNA from 1 species